CCUACGGGUGGCAGCAGUGGGGAAUAUUGGGCAAUGGGCGCAAGCCUGACCCAGCAAAGCCGCGUGAAGGAAGAAGGCUUUCGGGUUGUAAACUUCCUUUAAGAAGGAAGCGAAGAAGACGGUACCUCUUCAAUAAGCCACGGCUAACUACGUGCCAUCCGCCGCGGUCAUACGUUGGUGGCAAGCGUUGUCCGGAUUUACUGGGUGUAACGGGAGUGUAGCCGGGAAGACAAGUCAAUUGUGAAAUCCCGCGGCUCAACCGAGGAACUGCAUUUGAAACUGUUUGUCUUGAGUACCGGAGAGGUCAUCGGAAUUCCUGGUGUAGCGGUGAAAUGCGUAGAUAUAAGGAAGAACACCAGUGGCGAAGGCGGCUGACUGGACGGCAACUGACGGUGAGGCACGAAAGCGUGGGGAGCAAACAGGAUUAGAUACCCUAGUAGUC
rnacentral:rRNA from 1 species